GUGGGGAAUAUUGGACAAUGGGCGAAAGCCUGAUCCAGCCAUGCCGCGUGUGUGAAGAAGGUCUUCGGAUUGUAAAGCACUUUAAGUUGGGAGGAAGGGCAGUAAGUUAAUACCUUGCUGUUUUGACGUUACCGACAGAAUAAGCACCGGCUAACUUCGUGCCAGCAGCCGCGGUAAUACGAAGGGUGUAAGCGUUAAUCGGAAUUACUGGGCGUAAAGCGCGCGUAGGUGGUUCGUUAAGUUGGAUGUGAAAGCCCCGGGCUCAACCUGGGAACUGCAUCCAAAACUGGCGAGCUAGAGUACGGUAGAGGGUGGUGGAAUUUCCUGUGUAGCGGUGAAAUGCGUAGAUAUAGGAAGGAACACCAGUGGCGAAGGCGACCACCUGGACUGAUACUGACACUGAGGUGCGAAAGCGUGGGGAGCAAACAGGAUUAGAUACCCUAGUAGUCC
rnacentral:rRNA from 1 species